ACCGAACUAACCAAACUGAUGCCCAUCCCUAGCUUCAGCUUCCAAAAAGCAAGGAAAGCUUCUAACUUGUGCCCUCUAGCUGCCAUAAAGCAAUUUCCAAAAAUUUGCUACCUUAUCCCAAAAGGCAUUUUUCUCUACCCCACGCCUCAUUUUUUCUCUUUCUAAAAAUAUGAUACUUUCUUCCUUUUUUCACUCAUUUUACGUCAUCUCUCUCUCUGGGACUCGUUGACCAUAACGCUUCAACACUUCUCAGUCCUUUGGGCGUUUGAAAAUUACCCAAAUUGUGAUUCCAAAUUCAUUUUAGGACAUUUGGAAUGUGUGCUCCCACCUGAAGAUGUCGAACAAGAUCCCCAAGUUUUGAUGUGGCAGCACCGGGUGAGGCAGGCCGCAGAGUCAACGCUCUUGAGGCUGCAGAAGGAGGCCAUUGAGGUGCUGCCAGAGGAUUUGAGAGUAGCGACUUUGGUGUCGGAUCUGACUCCGUUCUCGGCGAACCGAUUCUUGGUGACUUUGACUCUACCAAUUGAGGGUUAUAGAUGAUCUAAUUUAAAUUGGAUCAAUGGGAGGGAGAAGCUCAUAUGAUCCAAGCAAAGGUUAAAGCUUGUGUUUUAGAUCUUUUGAGGAAGUUUGUAAAUUUGAUAUUUAGUUGUGUUAGUUGUUAUUAAUGUUUCUUCUUAGGAUUUGAUUUCGUCAUUUUUUUUUUGUUUAUUUCCUAUUUGUUUGUUGAGAAAAUGGAGAAUUACUGGAAGGAAAAGUGAAUUAAUAUA